AGGCACGUAGCUCAGUUGGUUAGAGCGCUUGCUUGACAGGCAAGAGGUCGGUGGUUCGACUCCACUCGUGCCUACCA
rnacentral:tRNA from 1 species